GAUGAACGCUGGCGGCGUGCUAAACACAUGCAAGUCGAACGGUGAACACGGAGCUUGCUCUGUGGGAUCAGUGGCGAAAGGGUGAGUAACACGUGAGCAACCUGCCCCUGACUCUGGGAUAAGCGCUGGAAACGGCGUCUAAUACUGGAUAUGUGACGUGACCGCAUGGUCUGCGUUUGGAAAGAUUUUUCGGUUGGGGAUGGGCUCGCGGCCUAUCAGCUUGUUGGUGAGGUAAUGGCUCACCAAGGCGUCGACGGGUAGCCGGCCUGAGAGGGUGACCGGCCACACUGGGACUGAGACACGGCCCAGACUCCUACGGGAGGCAGCAGUGGGGAAUAUUGCACAAUGGGCGCAAGCCUGAUGCAGCAACGCCGCGUGAGGGAUGACGGCCUUCGGGUUGUAAACCUCUUUUAGCAGGGAAGAAGCGAAAGUGACGGUACCUGCAGAAAAAGCGCCGGCUAACUACGUG
rnacentral:rRNA from 1 species